GGGAUUUGGAUUGGUGGGUUGUUGCAGAAGAUUUUUUAGAUCAAGUUUUUCUUUUUGGGGUAAAUUAAAGGUAAAUGAUGGAUUUUUGGGUUUUUGGUUUACUUUUCACUUGUUUUCGUUUCUUGUCAGUUUCUUAUGCGCCCUUGUUUCUAUGUGGUGCUCUGAUUUUUCAUGCUUUCUCUGUGAUGCUUUGAUUUUUCAUGUAGCAUCAGUAGCUCUGUAAAUCUCCGCUUUAAUCUUUUUUUAUUUUUCAUUUCCCGUUUAUUCAUGCAAGAUCUCUGAUCAAAUACGCUACAAACCUAGAACAAUAUCUGAACUUUGAUAUUAUUGAUCGAAUGUGAUUGACCCUAUAGUAAUCAAUGAAACUUUAGAAUUUAGAUCAAUGGAUUGAUUGUUUAUGACUAGUUGUUGUUCCUUGUUAGGAAUGCACAUUAUUCCUUACUCAAGUAGCUAUUCCUUACUCAAGUAGAUAUUCCUUCUUAGGAAUGCAACUUGGAGCAUUAUUGUGGUAACAAAAUUGCUAUUGUUAGAAGGCACUGCUUUCUCUUCCAGCAGGUUAGCAGUGGAAUUUAGAACUUGGGGGUAAGAACCAAGUUGCUUUGAACCCAUAUGUGUUUACUGGAUUGCCUUGUGAAUACCAACAGGAACUGGAAAUCUUGCCAACCAGGUAAAUGUCUUGGCAUCACAAGUUUAAUAGAGUUGGGGUUAUGAAUUUAAAUCCAUUUUUAGGUAUUAUUAUGUUUCUUUUGUCGUGGUUUUUACUAUUUCAUUGCAUUGACUUGGGUUGUUAUUUGGUUUAAGCAAUGAAUCUAGUUUAACUAUUUUGAUUGACAUGGAGUAUUUGCAUGAUUGUUUAGUGGAAUUGGCUCCUCUUUGGGUGUUGCCUUUCUUUAGAUUUUUGAUUUAUAGAUGAAUUCUUAUUUAUUCUUUUCAUUAUUUCCUUCUUGAAUUCAGUGGAGCCAUUUGGUCUUGCUUUUCAUGGCAGAAUUGAUGUGUAGUUCACAUAAAACAAGAGUAUGCAAAGUGAUUGGUUAAAUUCAUCUCUAAAACAGCUUCCAUAUAGAAGUUCUAUUGGGUACUUUUUUUCUUCUUUAUGUUUUAAUGUUGUUACUUUUCUUAUUAAAUAUGGUUAAUUAUUAGUAUGAUGAAAGUUUCAACUGCUAUUUCAAGGAUAAUAAUCAGGGAACCAAUUGACUGAGAGCUGAAUGGGCCCAUGAACUUUUGUCUUCUCAAUGGGAAAACAUCCCCUGAACUUCAUCUCCUAAAAAGCAUUAGCAAAGUUCACAAUCUUGUUGUUGUUAAUCAGUAUAAAAACCAUUUUCAGGACAUCUUAUGGCUUGAUUGUUCUCUCAUUGUAUACAAGGUCCUCUUUACCCUUGUGCUUUUUGCUAUCAAGUUCUUCUUUCUUGCAAUGGUAUGCCAAUGUGAGAUAUAGUAACAUGUGUCGUAGAUCAUUGUGGAAGAAGACUUGCUUAAUGAGGUGUGGUCUGCUUGAAAAAGUUAGAUUACUUUGCUACUAUCUGAUGAAGAAUCAACUCUUAGGCUAGAUCCACUAGAAGGUACAUCGAUAACUGCACUACUGAAUUUUACCGUCUCCUUGUGAAGCCGAAAAUUUGUUGAAGAGAUUCUUAUGCGGUUGAUUUUUUUUCUCCUAUAGUAGUUGCCAAAAUGGAUGGGGCAUUAGAAAGAUCAGUGCUAUUUAGUCUAUAUAAAGAUCAUUUACAUCUAGUUCAUAUACAGGAAAUGCUUGCAUGGAGGUCCUGAACAUUGAGAUUGAAUACCAUAGUCAAGCUGUCAUGAAAGAUCUUAUCUUUUGAAAAACACACUUGAUAGGUAUGUCCAAUUACUUUUUUCACGUAGAGGUAUUUGCCCACUGAUGUUUGCGAUGUACUUGUUGUAUGAUUAUAGAGACAAAUGUAAGUAUUUGCAAAAAUAUGCAUGUUUAUGCACAUGAUCAAGUGAUCAGAAGCUUCUGUAGAUGAUAUAUGUGUGAUGACUUUAGGCUCUUUAUGGUCUCUACAUAUCGGUGACUUUAGGCUCAUUAUGGUCUCUACAUACCGGUGACUUUAGGCUCUUUAUGGUCUCUCUCUCUCUCAAUCGCUCUCUCUCUCUCUCUCAAUCCAACGUACUUUACUUUCAAUUGAUAUUUUAUCCCAAAAAUUAAAAUUCCAAAAAUUAAUAAAAAAUAAAUAAUAUCUAGGUCUCAAUUUAAAUCCAAUACAGAUACCCAGAACUUCUCAGUCUUUCAGCAUGUUAUCAAACACAUAUACUUAGAACUUACUUAACAUUCCAGGAGGUUAUCAAACACAAAAACUCAGAACUUCUUACAAUAACUUCUUUCUUCCCAGCAAAGAGGAACUUUACAGUUCAUGAACUUGCUUCCGGUUAUCAAACAGGCCCUUAGAAAGAGUGAGAGGUAAACAAAGCCAUCUCUCUCUGGAGAGAGAGAGGUAACUCGUCAUCCCCAUAAUUUGUUUUUCGAGAUUGGGUCAUUGAAGCUUUGGUCUUCACCCACACUACCAGGUAGUCCUUUGUUCCAUUACCAGCACUCUUUAAGAAGCACCAUAGAUUGGAAUUGCUCCUUUGAGAAGGUUCAACUGUGAAGUUCUAAUGAGAUCCAUUGCUAUGGUGCUUUUUAAUCGCAACCACGGAUUUGAUAUAUCUAAAUUUUCUCUCGAAAGGUUCUUCUCUAUCAGACCAGAUAAUCGAACUCUGUCAAGCUCCAUAGUUUCACACUAUGCCAUGGAUAGUGUGGCUGUUUUUUGGGAUUUAGACAAUAAACCCCCCAAAUCAGUCCGCCCUUAUGAUGCAGCCAUUAGGCUCAAGUUAGCAGCUUCUGGCUUUGGGGUAGUGAGAUAUUUGGUGGCUUAUGCCAAUAGGCAUGCAUUUAGCUAUGUUCCUCCUAUGGUUAGGGAACAGAGAAGAGGGAGAAACUUAUUGAACAAGUUAGAAAAUAGUGGGGUCAAAAAGUCUCUAGAGCCUUGCAUGUGCAAAGUUUGUGGGAGAAAGUUCUAUUCAAACGAGAAGCUUCUCAACCACUUCAAGCAAUUACAUGAAAUGGAACAGAAGAAAAGAACGAACCGGCUUGAAUCUUUGAAAGGGAAUAGAAGAGUGAAAUUAGCUGCGAAAAUGGCUAUGAAAAUGGAGAAAUAUAAGAGAGCGGCCAGAGAGAUAUUGGUUCCAAAAGUGUAUGGACUGGCUGGCGAUAUUAAACAAGCCGGGUUUUGGGUUAGGACCGUUUCUGAUCGACCCGAGGCAGCUGAUAUCGCAUUGAGGAAUCAUAUGUUGGAGACCAUGGAUCGGGGGCUUAAGUGCUUGGUUCUUGUUUCUGAUGACUCUGAUUUUGUGGAAGUUUUAAAAGAGGCAAGGUCUAGAAAUGUUAAAUCAGUUGUUGUUGGUGAUAAUAUAACUGGGGUUUUGAAAAGAUACGCUGAUAAAGCCUAUAUGUGGAGGGAUAUUACAUCUGGGAUAGCGCGAAAAGAGGCGGUAUCAGCUGUUGGGCAGUGGGAAGAUCGGGAUAUAUUGAAGAAGCUUGAAUGGAAAUACAAAUCAGAGCUUGGUACUGGUGAUAGUGAGGAUAUCAAAGUAGAGUUUGGAGAUGAAAAUAUUGAAGACAUGGGGUCUGAUGAUAGUGAUAGUGAGGAUAUUGAAUUGGAAGUUGGAGAUGAAGGCAGUGAAGAGAUGGAGUUUGAAGAAGAUGAGAAGAUAGGUGCUAAGGUAAAUGCUCGACCCUGGUGGAAAUUGGAAUUGGAUUCAAACAGUGAACACUCGACUGCGAGACCAUGGUGGAAAUCUGAAUCGGACUCAGACGAUGAACGCCGUUGAUUUUGUGUAGAUGUUUGAAAAACUGGAGCUGGAGGAGAAGCUGGAGGUUGGCUUGAAUAGACCGGGUAGUUGAUAUUUGGGGAGUAAGAAAUGAGACUAUUACCGGGUAACAAAGUUCAAUGAAGCUCAACAAAGUCCACAUUGAUGAUUGCUUGCAGUGAUGCAAGGGUUUUGGAAGAGCAAAAACAAGAAACCCCAUUUGCGGAGGACUUUGAUCUUGAGCAUUGUUUUCGUUACAACAAAUUUGGCAAACAAGAGGCCUCAUCUAUAGAGGACUUUGAUCUUGAGCACCAUUUCCGUUACAACAAAUUUGGCAAACAAGAAACCCAUCUACAGAGGACUUUGAUCCUGAUCAACGCUUUUGUUACAACAAAUUUGGCAAACAAAAAAGCCUAUCUAUAGAGGACUUUGAUCCUGAGCAUCGCUUUCGUUACAACAAAUUAGGCAAACAAAAAACCCCAUCUACAGAGGAUUUUGAUCUUGAGCAUCACUUCCGUUACAACAAAUUUAUCAAACAAGAAACCCCAUCUAUGGAGGACUUUGAUCUUGAGUAUCGCUUCCGUUACAACAAAUUUGGUAAACAAGAAACCCCAUCUACACAGGACUUUGAUCCCAAGCAUCGCUUCUGUUACAACAAAUUUGGCAAACAAGAAACCCCAUCUACAGAGGGCUUUGAUCUUGAGCAUCGCUUCGAUUACAACAAAUUUGGCAAACAAGAAACCCCAUAUAUAGAAGACUUUGAUCCAUAGCAUCGCUUCCAUUACAAUAAAUUUGACAAAAAAGAAAUCCCAUUUAUAAAGGACUUCAUCGAAUUUUACGCUAUGUUCGAGGUACUUCCAUUUAUGGAUUAUUCUUUGGCUCCACAUCCUCUUUAGAUCUCAGUGCAUAUGUCAAUGUAAAUUGGGCAGGUGAUCCAGACACAUGCCGUUCUACUACAAGAUAUUGUGUUUCAUGGGGUCAUCAUUAAUAUCAUGGGAGAGCAAGAAAUAGGACAUUGUUUUCAAGUCAAGCACUAAAGCUGAGUAUCGUGUUAUAUUCUCUGUUGCUAGUAAGAUUGUUUAGGUUCGUGCUCCUCUCAAUGAAUUUGGUAUUUCUAUCAAAUCCCACACAUUUACAUCCAGAUAACCAAUGUGCAAUUAAGAUUGCAUCUAAUCCAGUUUUUCAUGAGUGCACAAAGCAUAUUAACGUAGAUUGUCAUUACGUUUGUGAUCACUAUUUUGAUGGUAUAUUAUCUCUCCCUUAUAUUUCUUCUACUUCUACUGUACAAAUGGUUGAUAUUUUCACGAAAUCUCUUACUCGGAGCGACCAUGAUUUUCUGGUGGACAAGCUAAUGCUUUACUCAUGUUUGCAUUAGCUUGAAGGGGUGUAAUAAUGUGUAUACAAAAAUAAAAUGUAGAAUUUCAUUUGUCCUUUGUUGUCAGUGUACAUUUGUAUAGGGAUAAUAUGAUUUACACUAAAUUUGUAUUUACAUAUAAACUGUUUUAGGGUUUCAUUCCUUGAUAAUAAGAAUUGAUCAAUAUUGUUUGUCUCUAGACUGUUCUUGAGCUCUGCAUCUUCUCUAAAUCUAAUACUUGGAAUAUGAUAUGUAAGAGAGCUAGAGUGGUCAUGGCUGCUUAUAUGAGAAUGUGAGUCUAUUUCUUUGACACUGCUUUGAGGUUCAAAUUCAUUCAUGGGCUUUUGUUUUCCAUAUCUAUUGUAACGGAACGAUGUUCAAGAUGAAAGUCCUUCGUAGAUGGAGUUUCUUAUUUGCCAAAUUUGUUGUAAUGGAAGCGAUGCUCAGGAUCAAAGUCCUAUGUAGAUGGCGUUUCUUGUUUGCCAUAUUUGUAAUGGACGAGAUGCUCAAGAUCAAAGUCCUUUAUAGAUGGGAUUUCUUUUUUGCCAAAUUUGUUGUAACGGAAGCGAUGCUCUGGAUCAAAGUCCUCUGUAUAUGGGGUUUCUUGUUUGCCAAAUUUGUUGUAAUCGAAGCGAUGCUCAAGAUCAAAGCCUUCUGUAGAUGGGGUUUCUUGUUUGCCAAAUUUGUUGUAACAGAAGCGAUGCUCGGGAUCAAAGUCCUGUGUAGAUGGGGUUUCUUGUUUACCAAAUUUGUUGUAACAGAAGCGAUACUCAAGAUCAAAGUCCUCCAUAGAUGGGGUUUCUUGUUUGACAAAUUUGUUGUAACGGAAGUGAUCCUCAAGAUCAAAGUCCUCUGUAGAUGGGGUUUUUUGUUUGCCUAAUUUGUUGUAACGAAAGCGAUGCUCAGGAUCAAAGUCCUCUGUAGAUAGGCUUUCUUGUUUGCCAAAUUUGUUGUAACACAAGCGAUGAUCAGGAUCAAAGUCCUCUGUAGAUGGGUUUCUUGUUCGCCAAAUUUGUUGUAACAGAAGUGGUGCUCAGGAUCAAAGUCCUCUAUAGAUGAGGCCUCUUGUUUGCCAAAUUUGUUGUAACGGAAACAAUGCUCAGGAUCAAAGUGGUUGAUGCAUGUAAACAGUCUUACACAAACCAAUGAUUUAUCUUGAGAAACAAAUUCAAGUGGUUGAUGCAUGUAAACUUCAUCUUGAAGUUUGCCAUUAAGGAAUGCAUCUUUGACAUCCAUCAGCCAUAUAAGCUACAUAUCGAUAGGGUAUGCGAGCAUUGUGAUUUGGCCUCCAGAGUAAGGCAUGCUGCUGCUGUUUAAUUUUUUGCAACUUUCUUCACAUAUUAGCAACUCC